GACGAACGCUGGCGGCGUGCCUAACACAUGCAAGUCGAACGGGGUAAUUUCUUCGGAGAUUACUUAGUGGCGAACGGGUGAGUAGCGCGUGAGAAACCUGCCUUUCAGUGGGGGACAACAGUUGGAAACGACUGCUAAUACCGCAUAAUGUCAUUUGGGGGCAUCCCUGAAUGACCAAAGAUUUAUUGCUGAAAGAUGGUCUCGCGUCUGAUUAGCUAGUUGGUGAGGUAACGGCUCACCAAGGCGACGAUCAGUAGCCGGUCUGAGAGGAUGAACGGCCACAUUGGGACUGAGAUACGGCCCAGACUCCUACGGGAGGCAGCAGUGGGGAAUAUUGGGCAAUGGGGGAAACCCUGACCCAGCAACGCCGCGUGAAGGAAGAAGGCCUUCGGGUUGUAAACUUCUUUUACCAGGGACGAACAAAUGACGGUACCUGGAGAAAAAGCAACGGCUAACUACGUGCCAGCCGCCGCGGUAAAAC
rnacentral:rRNA from 1 species